GCCUGUAAGAUUCAACCAAGAACAGCUUCUUUGCAUCCUUUGAUUCAACCAUGCUGUGGGAUUCUCUGUUGAGUCAUGCUGAAUGGAUCAAACAACGCAUAGAGGGUCUAUGCGUAAACUUUGCUUUCCCACUGCCUUUAGAAGCUGGUAGCACCUGGCACCACACAGCAGCUGUGUGCAGCAGAGGAAGCAGAGGGGUGUGGGUUAGGGGUCUAGGUUGAAAUCCAGUGACCUGCCAUGUAGCUACUGUGCUGCCUGCUCAGAGUGUUCUGGAAGCCUCUGUGGUCCCCUCCCUGCAGGCAGGAGAUGUCAAUGGCCCCAAGGUAGCCCUAAAGGACAGGCAAGAUGUGCUGUAUGCAUCAGUGCAGAUGCCAUCACUGCUUCCUUACAGACUAUGAGCACUAGUGGUGCUUCGGGGGAUGACAGAGGAACAUUCCUUGGUAACUGUGAGACUUUCCUGGUCUUAACAGGGAAACACUCAUUUUCAGAGAGCAAAUUGUCCUUCUAGUCACAGAACCAGCCCAGCAUCUGGGUGCUGUCAGUCCCACUUACCUCUUCCAAAGGGGAUCUCCAGACACAGCAGCAGAAGUUACAGCUUUCCUCUGUGAGGCACUGAUGGAUGCUGUUUAACUUGCACAAAGUGUCCCCCUGCAGAAAUCAGUGAGAAAGAGUCAGAUGAGCAAGUACAAGAUUUCUGAUAGUGAUGUUAUGAAUGGUAAAUGGCUGCAACUUUAUUUAAUUUUUGUUUGAGGAUGUCUGAGGGGGAAGGGAGAAGGUUCUUGCUGCUGACUACUCAUCACCAUUUCAUUUUGUGCUUUCUUCAACUCUCCUGUAUCACCUCCAUGCCUGCUGUGUGCAAAUUCAUCUCCACUGUGCUGCCAUCAUGUGAACCUGUCUCAUGGCUCCAUCUUCAUUGUUUAUGUGCAUGCCACUCUUCCAGCCAAGGCUGUCUUCCAUCACUCCCACAAGCACAAGAAGCACGACACGCUGCAGCCCUGCGACACAGAGUACCCUGUCUUCGUGUACGAGCCGACCAUCAAGGAGACCAACGGGCUGAUUGA
rnacentral:lncRNA from 1 species